UUCACUCUCCCACUCAUUCGUUUUUUAUUGUUAAAACGCUUUGCCUACACCAUUUUCGGUUUUAUCGGCUGAGCACAGAAGACCGUAGAAGACAAAGAAACAAUACAUGAUAUUUGGUCUCAACAUUCCCAUUCCGGGUAUAAUGAAGGUUUUGUGUUUUUUUCUUAGAUUCUGAUCUCAACAUUCCCAUUCCGGGUAUUAUCUUUUUUGACAAAAAUACCCCCAUUGUUUCCAACCCUAAUCGCCUAGAGGAAUAAGCACCCAUUCUUCUUCGGUUCUUCCCCUCCUCCUUCCAAUCAGUCAAUCCAAGAUACUCGUCGUCGUCGAACUGCCCUCCGACGAGACUCGCCCCUGUUCUAAUUCGGGAUUGAUCUAUUUCUUCACUGCUGACAUUAACGAGUUCUUCAAAUCAGUCAAUCCACGUUUUGCUCUUCAAACCAAGCUCUAUUUUACAAUUUAGAAAUCAGUACAGUAGAUGCUCAAACCAGAUUGGAUAAUCGGUCAGAUCUCGUUAGGAUUUUACAGCAGUUUGGAGUCCAUUCCUUUGGUCUACUUCUUGGUCUAAAGCCUUCAUGUCCAAAUGAAGAGGUUAGGAUGCUAAAGUUUAGGAACACCUUGUUAGGGGAGGAAGUGUGUGGUUUUGGCAAGAAAUGCAAUGUUAGUGUUGCCUUAGAGAUCAACAUUUGUCAUCCAUGAUUCCUUAAAUAUAUCAGGUUUUAGAAGAGGAUUAAAAAGUUAAGAGAGUGGCUUGAUAGGUUGGCAAAGGUAACAAGUUUCUAGCAUUUUCAUGCAUUUUCUGCAAGACUUGUAAUUUAUGCAUUUUUCUGAUUUUCUUGCAAUUUUCUGCAAUUUCCUGCAAUUUUUCUGUAAUUUCUAUAGUUUUCUGCAAAAAUAUUGUAGUUUCUACAUUUUCUUGCAAAGUAAAUGAUAUUUUCUAUAAUUUCUAUA